GCCCGAUUAGUUCAGCUGGAUAGAAUGUCUGUCUACGGAGCAGAUGGUCGUAGGUUCGAAUUCUGCAUCGGGUA
rfam:Perkinsus marinus ATCC 50983 gcontig_1104296280734, whole genome shotgun sequence.